UGAACUGUAUUUUUUCUCCAGUUGUGUUAUUAAAACAAUGCUGUGUGUUUGUUCUUUUUCAGAAUCUGUCUUCACUAUGAAAAGAUGAGAAAUUUUCUUUCUUCCUGAGGGUGUCGGAAGGUCUUAAAAGGCUGAUAUAUUAGUGCUGUUUUUCUCCUUUCCUUUUGCAUAUUAUCCUGAAAACAUAACAUCACUUUGGGAACAAGUCAGAUGAAUGGCUUUCAUUUUUAAACAGAGGUAGUAUGUGUUGGUCUCAGUUAUGCAUGGAGCUUAUGGAAUUAUUUGUUACUCAGAAAUACCUUCUUUACAAGUAAUGUUGGUAA
ensembl:lncRNA